rnacentral:tRNA from 1 species
GGUGUGUUGGCUCAGUCAGAAGUAGAGCGUUCGCCUCAAAACCGGGAGGUCGUGGGUUCGAACCCCAGCCGCGUCA